UCUCCGUUGGUGAACCAGCGGAGGGAUCAUUACUGAGUUUACAACUCCCAAACCCAAUGUGAACCAUACCAAACUGUUGCCUCGGCGGGGUCACGCCCCGGGUGCGUCGCAGCCCCGGAACCAGGCGCCCGCCGGAGGGACCAACCAAACUCUUUCUGUAGUCCCCUCGCGGACGUUAUUUUUACAGCUCUGAGCAGAAAUUCAAAAUGAAUCAAAACUUUCAACAACGGAUCUCUUGGUUCUG
rnacentral:misc_RNA from 1 species